rnacentral:rRNA from 1 species
AGUGAACGCUGGCGGUAGGCCUAACACAUGCAAGUCGAACGGCAGCACAGGAAGAGCUUGCUCUUACGGGUGGCGAGUGGCGGACGGGUGAGGAAUACAUCGGAAUCUACUUUUUCGUGGGGGAUAACGUAGGGAAACUUACGCUAAUACCGCAUACGACCUACGGGUGAAAGCAGGGGAUCUUCGGACCUUGCGCGAUUGAAUGAGCCGAUGUCGGAUUAGCUAGUUGGCGGGGUAAAGGCCCACCAAGGCGACGAUCCGUAGCUGGUCUGAGAGGAUGAUCGGCCACACUGGAGCUGAGACACGGUCCAGACUCCUACGGGAGGCAGCAGUGGGGAAUAUUGGACAAUGGGCGCAAGCCUGAUCCAGCCAUACCGCGUGGGUGAAGAAGGCCUUCGGGUUGUAAAGCCCUUUUGUUGGGAAAGAAAAGCAGCAGGUUAAUACCCCGCUGUUCUGACGGUACCCAAAGAAUAAGCACCGGCUAACUUCGUG